rnacentral:rRNA from 1 species
CCCCUAGAUGUUCUGGGCCGCACGCGCGCUACACUGAACAGUUCAACAAGUCUUAACCUUGGCCGAUAGGUCUGGGUAAUCUUUGAACGCUGUUCGUGAUUGGGAUAGACCUUUGCAAUUAUGGGUCUUCAACGAGGAAUUCCUAGUAAACGCAAGUCAUCAGCUUGCAUUGAUUACGUCCCUGCCCUUUGUACACACCGCCCGCCGCACCUACCGAUUGAAUGGUCCGGUGAAAUCUCGGGACGGCGGCUUGGUCGCUUGCGUCCGACUGCUGAAACUUGAUUAAACCAUAUCAUUUAGAGGAAGGUGAANUCGUANCA